GUGCUUGCUUUGGCAGCACAUAUACUAAAAUUGGAAUAAUACAGAGAUUAGCAUGACCCCUGUGCAAGGAUGACAUGCAAAUUGAUGAAGCACUCCAUAUGUUU
ensembl:snRNA U6 U6 spliceosomal RNA